rnacentral:rRNA from 1 species
GAACGCUGGCGGCGUGCUUAACACAUGCAAGUCGAACGCGAAAGAUUUCUUCGGAGAUCGAGUAGAGUGGCGCACGGGUGAGUAACGCGUAAGUUAUCUACCUCGGCAUCUGGAAUAACGCACCGAAAGGUGAGCUAAUACCGGAUACGUUGAGUAAUCAAGAAAGGUGGCCUCUGCAUAUGCUACCGUGCUGGGAUGAGCUUGCGUACCAUUAGCUAGUUGGUAGGGUAAUGGCCUACCAAGGCGACGAUGGUUAGCGGGUCUGAGAGGAUGAUCCGCCACACUGGAACUGGAACACGGACCAGACUCCUACGGGAGGCAGCAGUGAGGAAUAUUGCGCAAUGGGGGCAACCCUGACGCAGCGACGCCGCGUGGAUGAUGAAGGCCUUCGGGUCGUAAAAUCCUGUCAGGUGGAAAGAAAUGCAUGGUGGUCAAUACCCAUCAUGUUUGACGGUACCACCGAAGGAAGCACCGGCUAACUCCGUGCCAGCAGCCGCGGUAA